rnacentral:rRNA from 1 species
GAUGAACGCUGGCGGCGUGCCUAACACAUGCAAGUCGAACGAAGCACUGAGAGUUUGAGAUUUCGGUCAAGAACUUUCUUUGACUUAGUGGCGGACGGGUGAGUAAUGCGUGAGCAACCUGCCUUUCAGAGGGGGACAACAGUUGGAAACGACUGCUAAUACCGCAUGAUAUAUUCGGAUCGCAUGGUCUGGAUAUCAAAGAUUUAUCGCUGAAAGAUGGGCUCACGUCUGAUUAGUUAGUUGGUGAGGUAACGGCUCACCAAGACUGCGAUCAGUAGGGGUUCUGAGAGGAAGGUCCCCCACAUUGGAACUGAGACACGGUCCAAACUCCUACGGGAGGCAGCAGUGAGGAAUAUUGGUCAAUGGGCGAGAGCCUGAACCAGCCAAGUAGCGUGCGGGACGACGGCCCUAUGGGUUGUAAACCGCUUUUGAUUGGGAACAAAGAGCGCCACGUGUGGUGCGUUGCGUGUACCUUUCGAAUAAGCAUCGG